rnacentral:rRNA from 1 species
UCCGUAGGCGGAUCUAUAAGUCAGGGGUGAAAGUUUGCCGCUCAACGGUAAAAUUGCCUUUGAUACUGUAGGUCUUGAAUACGUGUGAAGUGGUUAGGAUGUGUAGUGUAGCGGUGAAAUGCAUAGAUAUUACACAGAAUACCGAUUGCGAAGGCGGAUCACUAACACGUCAUUGACGCUGAUGGACGAAAGCGUGGGGAGCGAACA